rnacentral:rRNA from 1 species
GAUGAACGCUGGCGGCGUGCCUAAUACAUGCAAGUCGAGCGAACGGACGAGAAGCUUGCUUCUCUGAUGUUAGCGGCGGACGGGUGAGUAACACGUGGAUAACCUACCUAUAAGACUGGGAUAACUUCGGGAAACCGGAGCUAAUACCGGAUGAUAUUUUGAACCGCAUGGUUCAAAAGUGAAAGACGGUCUUGCUGUCACUUAUAGAUGGAUCCGCGCUGCAUUAGCUAGUUGGUAAGGUAACGGCUUACCAAGGCAACGAUGCGUAGCCGAACUGAGAGGGUGGUCGGCCACACUGGAACUGAGACACGGUCCAGAGGCCUACGGGAGGGAGCAGUAGGGAAUCUUGCGCAAUGGGCGAAAGCCUGACGGAGCAGCGCCGCGUGAGGGAUGAAGGUCUUCGGAUCGGAAAACUCUGUUAUUAGGGAAGAACAUAUGUGUAAGUAACUGUGCACAUCUUGACGGUACCUAAUCAGAAAGCCACGGCUAACCACGUG